rnacentral:misc_RNA from 1 species
AAAACCUUGCAGGUACAUCCUUCAGUUGCUGCCGCGAUCACUCCGAGAACAUGCUGCGUUGUGUGUCGAGAAGGCUGUGGUAUCAGUUCAAGGACCUCAAAAGUAAGGUCGUCCUCGAAAAGCUCCGAAACUCAAAGCUGCAGGAAGGUGUCCACCCUUCUGACAUUGAUAUGGAGGAGCUGGCAAGGGAAAGCGGCAUUGCGCCGUCGAGUAGUGUCAAUGUGCAGGACUUUAUGCACGAGAAAGAGGCCGUGCUGGAGAUGCUGCAGGAUCAGCGACUGCGCCGCAUAGCACGGCGCGAAGCGUUUCUGGAGUGGCAAGCUGGGCAGCGCGAAAAAGGCGCCGCUCACCGUCUUGUUCGCCAAUCGCGCAAAGCAGAAAAGUACAAGCGCCGCCACUACCAUGCCACAAGUGGGCGAAUGCUGCCGAUAUCUCUUUCUCCGGAUGAAGCACCGCCAGGUCGCCGCAUGCCAGUGUCAAUGCCAAAGGCGUGCGUAUCGUCUACCGAGUUUCUACGAGGAGGCCCGGCAGAAGAUCGGCACGCCAUACACCUCUCUUUGGCGAAGAAGUGAAUGCCGUCAUCAGUACGUGUGCCGCUCUCCUUUCUGCAAUAUGUCCUUACACAAAAUGUACUGUUCUAAAAGAAAAAAGGAGCAAGGAUUGAAAGACUCCCUCUCAUCUCUGCUUGCCGCUUUUUUUUUGAGGGCGGUGAGGGCCACCAUUCCUUGCCGCACGACAAGGGACAGCAUUUGUACAGAUGUACAGGGAAGGGAAGGAUCAUGACUGCGAACGCAGCGGAAAGGAAUGGGAAGGGGGAUGCGAGGUGCGUUUUCCUGCUUCCUCUAUGCUGUUCUGCUUUGUCUAUGUGCGUCUCGUUUGCGUCUCUGUAACGGCAGAAGCCGCAGGAAGAGCUGCUCUCUUAGCGAUUCUUUCGCUGGGCGCCUACUUGCACACGACUCUCGCUGCUUUUCAUCCUUCUCUCAUGUCGUCCUCUGCACGGCGCGCACACGUGAGUGCCGAUGGACCUCUUUGCCCAG